UAGGGAAUCUUCCACAAUGGACGAAAGUCUGAUGGAGCAACGCCGCGUGAGUGAAGAAGGUUUCGGAUCGUAAAGCUCUGUUGUUGGUGAAGAAGGAUAGAGGCAGUAACUGGUCUUUAUUUGACGGUAAUCAACCGAGAAAGUCACGGCUAACUACGUGCCAC
rnacentral:rRNA from 1 species